GAUGAAUAAAAGAUGGAGGAAAGAAAUGGAAAAAGCACACAAAAAUGAAAUGAGAAAGACGAUGAUAAAAAAGGACAAAGUGGGAUUCUGCCAGGUUUCUGACACAGGCUGAAGUCUUGAGGAGCCAGGCCUUGAGGUAAGUGUAUAUGCCCAUGGACUGCAUGGUGCUGGCUUCCACGAUGUAGUCCAAGGGCACAUACCCUCGCAUCAGGGAUCUCUGAAGAUCUUUGUGUAAAACCUAACCAGCAGAAAAGCAGAAAUGGUAACGGCAUAUUGUCUUUCAUCCACCAUACUUUUACUUAGAAAAUUAUGAAUCAUUUUCUGAAAAUAAAAAUAAACUGUGAACUGUUAUCACAGAGAAUUUACUAAUGUUGCAAAAGCAUUCACAACCUUAUACUUUUACAAUUUUUUGUAAUAUUACAAUCAAGCUUCAUGGUAUUUUAUUGGGAUUUAAUAUGACAAAACAACUCAAAGCACUGCUUACAGUACCUGUUUGUAGCCACAUCUUUUGCUGUUUGUCUCUAUCAGCUUUUUACAUGCAGAGCCUGACACCGUUCCACAUUUGUCUUUGCAGAACACCCUGAGCUCUGACAGACUGGAUGGAAAACAUCCAUGAACAGCCGGUUUAAUGACUCUGACUCGGCUGUUCGAGCACAUGAACACUCUACACUAUUCCUUUUCAUCUCCAGCUACACAUUUGGUAUCGCAGUUCUGUUGAAAUGUAAACUUUCACAUGAAUAUCAGAGGAAACUGGCUCAACAUUUUCAGGGUUUUAAACUGUAAAGUUCUGAAAACUGUGUAUAUUUUUUCCUUCCACUUUACAAAUACGUACUAAUUUGUCUUGCAUUAUCGCAUAAUAACCAAGACAAAAUGUGAGAAAGUUCAAGGGGUAUGAAUCCUUUUACAAGGUAUUGUAAAUGUUGUUAUUAAGUAGGUUUUAUGUGGCUACACUGGGUUAACAGGCAUGCAGUAAACAUUUUACAUGUUAUUUAAAUGAGGCAUAACAAUUACAUAAAGUACAAACAACCAAUUAUAAAGUCAUUAGCGUGGUAGAGAUAUUUCAGGUCUGGAUCUUAAACAGUCUGUAAUAAAGGGAACAACAAAAACACUG